UAACGCGAAGAACCUUACCAAGGCUUGACAUACACCGGAAACGGCCAGAGAUGGUCGCCCCCUUGUGGUCGGUGUACAGGUGGUGCAUGGUUGUCGUCAGCUCGUGUCGUGAGAUGUUGGGUUAAGUCCCGCAACGAGCGCAACCCUCGUUUUAUGUUGCCAGCGCGUUAUGGCGGGGACUCAUAGGAGACUGCCGGGGUCAACUCGGAGGAAGGUGGGGAUGACGUCAAAUCAUCAUGCCCCUCAUGUCUUGGGCUUCACGCAUGCUACAAUGGACGGUACAACGAGUCGCGAAACCGCGAGGUCAAGCUAAUCUCUUAAAGCCGUUCUCAGUUCGGAUUGUAGGCUGCAACUCGCCUACAUGAAGUUGGAAUCGCUAGUAAUCGUGGAUCAGC
rnacentral:rRNA from 1 species